ACAGUUGGGAUUUUAUCAACGUGGCUGAUAGUACCAACAAGGGUGUUGUUGACCAUGUAUUUCUUGUGGGUUCUGGCGUUUUUCUGGAUUUGCGGACUGGUUGACGCCCAAGGGCAAACUACGUCAGCAAACAAAUUACUAACUACCAGCCACUCAACAACGCAUUUUACCACAAUACCAACUACCCAACACGUCACAACUCAUGCUGCCACAAUUUCAACAACCGGCAAGCAAAGACAAACUACGUCGGCAACCACAAUACCAACUACCAAACACGUUACAACGCAAGG